UGUUCAUCUUCCCAUUUUUAUGGUCCUUUUCAUGUUCCUGAAGGUCCCUGUUCCAUAAGAAGCCCUUAUUACAUUCAGCGCAGGUGAAUGGUUUCCUCCCAGUAUGAAGCCAUUUGUGAGCUGUGAAGAUCUUCCUGUGUGAGAAACAUUUCCCACAUCUAGAGCAGACAAACGUCCUCUUCAUGUGAAUUCUCUGGUGGGUGAGAAGGUCCCUAUUGCUACAAAAUCUCCUCUCCCAUUUUGGGGUUUUCACAGCACUGUUGGUUUUAGCAACAAUGUUUAGUUUUUUGCUGUCUAUAAGAGAUUUUAAUACUGAAUCUAAGUUCUUAAACUUUUGGGUAAUGUUACUGUUCCUCAAACCAUGUUGGCAUCGCUUGUUAGUGUUGUGUUUUAUGUGCGUCUUGAGAGCAGAAGACCUCUUGUCUGUGUAAUAUUUCUGGUUGGAUGAUCUAUAACAUUCAUUGUAUAGGGGCCUUGCUGUCAGACUUUGGAUUUGGCUGAGGUUGUAAUGAACAUCUUGAUGUCAACUAAAUCCAUGCAUUUUGAUUAUGUUCUUAUUGGAGACCUCUGAUCCAAACGGGACCAAUCAAUAUCCAGCAGCAACAAGUCUUCAGUUCUUCCCUUUUUCAUGCCAGUUCUCUACAAAUACAAUAAAACAAUGACUUAAAAUAAAUAUUAUUUAAAUGCAUUAUGGAAGAGGUAUUGUUGGGUGUACUGCAUAAGGUUGUAGCAGGGGUAGGUGGGGCAACAGCAGGGUGGAAACUGUACAAAUACAUUGGCUGACAUGUCAAAUAUAAAUACAGUUUAUAAUUAAAUAAUCAAUGAAUCACUGGGCCUUUUUGGAUGCACCUAUUGCAGUAGAUGUGUGAUAGAUAUGUCUUCUAAAUGGGAAAUCCACCCAUUUUUUGCCAAAUGAAAGAAGAUAUAGAUCUCAGAAGCCACCAAUACCCAUUAUUUCUCAUUCUCGCCAGGCUUAUAGUAAUAUGCAAUUUCAAUUGACAGAAAUGUCUGUCUGUCCAUUAACAUUCUGCCCCUGACUCUUAGAACAAAGUUGCAAGUCAGUUGGGAACAAUCCUGGAGGAGAAGUGACUCCUGUUACAUUGUAAGAGUCAGACCAAGAGAAUAAAAAGGAUAGACUUAAUUGUUUCUCUUUGGACUCCACUUGUUACAAGGGGUGGAUCUGCUGGGAAAAUGGUGCAGAAGGUCUUGUUAUCAAGUGUGUGCUCUUUGUUAACCAAUACCCUUAGUGGAGUUGGGGAACAGGAACCCCAGGAAUCAGGAACAGAUAGUGACAAAUAGUUUUAUGUCUUAGAUAUUGACAGGAGUCAGAACAGUUAACAAGAGCAUUCCAGUGCUGCAGUAUUCCCCAAAGCAUCACCCAACAGUGUUGGGAAGACAGUCUGUAAGGACUCAGUCUAUGCUGAGGAGGAUCCAUUAUACUGAGCUGUGCCUGGACAUUGAGACUAAGCCUCUUCUUUCCAUCUCCAAGCUGGCUGGGUGUGUGAGGACAUGAUGAAUUGCCUCAACAAGUCAAAUUUCAAGUCAAGUUUUAUGGUUAUCUCAACUGUAUAUGAAUAAACAAUGAGACAAAAUA